UACGAAGGGGGCUAGCGUUGCUCGGAAUCACUGGGCGUAAAGCGCACGUAGGCGGCUUUUUAAGUCAGAGGUGAAAUCCUGGAGCUCAACUCCAGAACUGCCUUCGAUACUGGCGAUCUUGAGUCCGGAAGAGGUGAGUGGAACUCCUAGUGUAGAGGUGGAAUUCGUAGAUAUUAGGAAGAACACCAGUGGCGAAGGCGGCUCACUGGUCCGGUACUGACGCUGAGGUGCGAAAGCGUGGGGAGCAAACAGG
rnacentral:rRNA from 1 species